rnacentral:rRNA from 1 species
AACGUAGGAGACAAACGUUAUCCGGAGUUACUGGGCGUAAAGGGCGCGUAGGCGGCCGAUUAAGUCGGGGUGAAAGCCUGUGGCUCAACCACAGAAUUGCCUUCGAUACUGGUUGGCUUGAGACCGGAAGAGGACAGCGGAACUGCGAGUGUAGAGGUGAAAUUCGUAGAUAUUCGCAAGAACACCAGUGGCGAAGGCGGCUGUCUGGUCCGGUUCUGACGCUGAGGCGCGAAAGCGUGGGGAGCAAACAGG